rnacentral:rRNA from 1 species
CCUACGGGAGCAGCAGUGGGGAAUAUUGCACAAUGGGGGAAACCCUGAUGCAGCGACGCCGCGUGAGCGAUGAAGUAUUUCGGUAUGUAAAGCUCUAUCAGCAGGGAAGAAAAUGACGGUACCUGACUAAGAAGCCCCGGCUAACUACGUGCCAGCAGCCGCGGUAAUACGUAGGGGGCAAGCGUUAUCCGGAUGUACUGGGUGUAAAGGGAGCGUAGACGUGGGUGAAAGCCAGAUGGGAAAGCUCGGGGCUCAACCCCGGGACUGCAUUUGGAACUGUGCUGCUAGAGUUUCGGAGAGGCAGGCGGAAUUCCUAGUGUAGCGGUGAAAUGCGUAGAUAUUAGGAGGAACACCAGUGGCGAAGGCGGCCUGCUGGACGAUGACUGACGUUGAGGCUCGAAAGUGUGGGGAGCAAACAGGAUUAGAUACCCUUGUAGUC